GAUGAAGAACGUAGCGAAAUGCGAUACUUGGUGUGAAUCGCAGAAUCCCGUGAACCAUCGAGUCUUUGAACGCAAGUUGCGCCCGAAGCCAUUAGGCCGAGGGCACGCCUGCCUGGGCGUCACACGUCGUUGCCCCCCCAUCUACUCCUUCGGGAUUGCGGGGGGCGGAUGAUGGCCUCCCGUGCGCCUCGCCGCGCGGUUGGCAUAAAUGCCAAGUCCUCGGCGACGCACGCCACGACAAUCGGUGGUUGCGAAACCUCGGUUGCCCGUCGUGUGCGGUCGUCGCGCAUCGAGGGCUCGAAAAAAUUGCCGGGUUCCGGCUCGGCUUUCAACGCGACCCCAGGUCAGGCGGGAUUACCCGCUGAAUUUAAGCAUAUCAAUAAGCGGAGGA
rnacentral:misc_RNA from 1 species